rnacentral:rRNA from 1 species
UUUUUUUGUGGAGGGUUCGAUUCUGGCUCAGGAUGAACGCUGGCGGCGUGCUUAACACAUGCAAGUCGAACGGGAUCCCAGGAGCUUGCUCC